CGGGGGGCAGCAGUGGGGAAUAUUGGACAAUGGGCGAAAGCCUGAUCCAGCAAUACCGCGUGUGUGAAGAAGGCCUUAGGGUUGUAAAGCACUUUCAAUUGGGAGGAAAACCUAUCGGUCAAUACCCGGUAGCUUGACAUUACCUUUAGAAGAAGCACCGGCUAACUCCGUGCCAGCAGCCGCGGUAAUACGGAGGGUGCGAGCGUUAAUCGGAAUUACUGGGCGUAAAGCGUGCGUAGGCGGUUCGUUAAGUCAGAUGUGAAAGCCCUGGGCUCAACCUGGGAACUGCAUUUGAAACUGGCGGACUAGAGUUUAGUAGAGGGGAGUGGAAUUUCAGGUGUAGCGGUGAAAUGCGUAGAUAUCUGAAGGAACACCAGUGGCGAAGGCGACUCCCUGGACUAGAACUGACGCUGAGGUACGAAAGCGUGGGUAGCAAACAGGAUUAGAUACCCGAGU
rnacentral:rRNA from 1 species